ACAGCAGAACCCCAACUGCAGGUGUAAAACGCGAAUUCUCCACCCGCACUGAUUGCUGCCAUCCCAAUGCCCCAACUGGCGUUAAGACGCUGGCCGGGAAACCAAAAUGAGCCGCUGGGGCGGGACAGCAGCCAGGACUCGGACAAGUCACCGCGGAGAAAGCGGGGGACGCAGCGGGGCCGCGACGACGUUACCGUGGGGAAGCGGAGCUGCCUGGCUACUCGAGUUCAGUAAGCGACAAGCACGGAUUUGCAGUCCCGUAGCCCGAAGUCCUGAGUGGAUUCAGAUCCUCUUCUAUGACUGUGUGACACCGCUCAGUAGAUCCUGAGACAGAAAUUUUGCAGGGGCCAUCCACUAAGAAUAAACCAGCCAUCCUCUAAGCAUCUGCCAGCUAUCCAAAACCCGUCCUCUAAGCAUGAACCAGCAACCAAAAGCCUGUCAGUGGGACGAAGGUAUGUGGCAUCUCUUGCAGGUACUCACUGCUUCCAGAACAGUUGCUAGAGCCAGGUGCCACGGCUCACUGUCUCAGCGCUGUACUUCACAGUUCUCUAACAAUCCCCACCAUGUCUCAGCUCUGGAAGAAGAUGCUCUCACUGUCUCACAGCUGAUCAGCCACCAUC